rnacentral:rRNA from 1 species
GCCUUCGGGAACGUCUGACACAGGUGCUGCAUGGCGUGUCGUCAGCUCGUGUCGUGAGAUGUUGGGUUAAGUCCCGUAACGAGCGCAACCCUUGUCCUUAGUUACCAGCACGUUAUGGUGGGCACUCUAAGGAGACUGCCGGUGACAAACCGGAGGAAGGUGGGGAUGACGUCAAGUCAUCAUGGCCCUUACGGCCUGGGCUACACACGUGCUACAAUGGUCGGUACAAAGGGUUGCCAAGCCGCGAGGUGGAGCUAAUCCCAUAAAACCGAUCGUAGUCCGGAUCGCAGUCUGCAACUCGACUGCGUGAAGUCGGAAUCGCUAGUAAUCGUGAAUCAGAAUGUCACGGUGAAUACGUUCCCGGGCCUU